rnacentral:rRNA from 1 species
GUUUACAGCCCAACCAUCCUGAGCACGCUCAAUCUCUUCUGAUCUCGGAAGCUAAGCAGCAUCGGAUCUGGUUAGUAUGUGAUGCCAUUUAGGGUGGCUAUAUCUCAGGAGAUCGAAAAUG